UGUUGAAGCAACAUCUGGUCUGCGCUGCUCUUGAACACCCAUUGAGUUUGCUUCAUGAUGAGAAAUAUUUUGGCUCUAGUUUAAGCAAUGCGCUGAUGUCCCUUAAAAAUAAAGGAGACCUGAGCUUUGAUCCUUCACGUGAUUCUUCUGCUAGAAUAUGGAGCUACAUUGGGCAUGAGAAAAUGCAGAGUGAUAGACAUGCAGCGUGAUAGACAUGCAGAUAGAGUCCCACCAGAUACAGAGUGAUAGACAUGCAGCGGAAUGAAGUUCUUGAAGAGAUUGAGGAAAGCAAAGCUUCUUCCAUUCCAGAUAUAUGAAGGUGCGGUCUAUAUGCACCAAGGGAAGACCUAUGUGGUCAAGGAAUUGGAUAUAUCGGAAAAGAUUGCUUUGUGCUAUGAAGCCAACUUGCAUUAUUAUACAAAAACCCGUGAUUAUACAGAUAUUGAUGUCCUUGGAGGUGAUAUUUUUAAUGUGAUUCCCUUUGAAGAUUGAAUUAUGACAGCAACUUCUUGUCCUGCAAACAUUUAGGCCUAUCCACCAAGGGCCUUCAAGAACCAGUCUUCAAGAACAGCAGCUCAAGCACUUUCUUGUAAAGUAACAACUACUUGGUUUGGUUUCUAUUGCAUACAAAGAGGAAGCAACAAAGUCUUAGAUACUUUUGAUCUUUCACUACCCAAAUAUUCAUAUGAAUCUCAGGCAGUUUGGAUUCCAGUUCCUCAGUCAAUUAAAAAAUUGGUCGAGGAGAAACAAUUUUCCUUUCGUGGGGGUUUGCAUGCUGCUUCACAUGCUCUUCUCAAUGUAGUGCCUUUAUAUUUAAGAUGAAACUCGUCUGACUUAGCUCCAGAGUGUCCAAACCCUCAUGAUAGCCGUUAUUUUCCUGAAAGAAUACUUGUUUAUGAUCAGCAUCCAGGAGGGACAGGUGUCUCAAUGCAGAUUCAACCUUAUUUCACAGAGCUGUUGAAUGCUGCUUUGGAACUUCUCACAUGUUGCCACUGCUCAGGAGACACUGGCUGCCCAAAUUGUGUUCAAAGUAUGGUUUGUCACGAGUACAACGAGGUUAUACACAAGGAUGCUGCGAUUAUGAUUCUUGAGGGUGUUCUGGAUGCAGAGUCUUUCUUUGGAGAAGCAAACGACUCUUCCUAAAACCAUAGCGAGUCCUGAAUCAUUAGCGCUUGCUAAUAUGGUUCUCUUACAGCCUGGGGAGGGUUUACUGAAUUUGUCAGUUGUACAUGUAUCGUUGACUGUUGCAGAGCCUACUACAGUGGCAAGUAACAUUGUUUAUGAAAUUAUGAAGGCCAACUUCAUAUCAAAAAAGCCAAACCAUACAUCUUAGUCUCUAAAUGAUUAGUUAUCUUUGGUCGAGUUUUUUGUCCUCCUUGCAAAGAUUUCAAAUUAGCUUGUGAAGCUUGCGAAGUCGCUUGCAAUCAAAGAAAAAUCAAGGACAUGGAUACUUGUAAAGAAGUCUAUUAUCAACUUUUUCUACCUCAUUUUCCGUCA